rnacentral:rRNA from 1 species
GUAGGGUGCGAGCGUUAAUCGGAAUUACUGGGCGUAAAGCGUGCGCAGGCGGUGAUGUAAGACAGUUGUGAAAUCCCCGGGCUCAACCUGGGAACUGCAUCUGUGACUGCAUCGCUGGAGUGCGGCAGAGGGGGAUGGAAUUCCGCGUGUAGCAGUGAAAUGCGUAGAUAUGCGGAGGAACACCGAUGGCGAAGGCAAUCCCCUGGGCCUGCACUGACGCUCAUGCACGAAAGCGUGGGGAGCAAACAGGAUUAGAUACCCUGGUAGUCCACGCCCUAAACGAUGUCAACUGGUUGUUGGGUCUUCACUGACUCAGUAACGAAGCUAACGCGUGAAGUUGACCGCCUGGGGAGUACGGCCGCAAGGUUG